rnacentral:rRNA from 1 species
UACGUAGGUGGCGAGCGUUGUCCGGAUUUACUGGGCGUAAAGCGCGCGUAGGCGGCUUCUUAAGUCUUGUCGUGAAAGGUCGCGGCCCAACUGCGACAGUGCGCGGGAUACUGGGGAGCUUGAGGGCAGCAGAGGCCGGUGGAAUUCCCGGUGGAGUGGUGAAAUGCGUAGAUAUCGGGAGGAACACCAGUGGCGAAGGCGGCUUUCUGGACUGUAACUGACGCUGAGGCACGAAAGCGUGGGGAGCAAACAGG